UGCUAUCAUUCGGCUUGAAGAUGUUGGC
rnacentral:piRNA from 1 species